UACGUAUGGGGCAAGCGUUAUCCGGAUUUACUGGGUGUAAAGGGAGCGCAGGCGGCCUGGCAAGCCUGAUGUGAAAUACCGGGGCCCAACCCCGGGGCUGCAUUGGGAACUGCCAGGCUGGAGUGCCGGAGAGGCAGGCAGAAUUCCUAGUGUAGCGGUGAAAUGCGUAGAUAUUAGGAGGAACACCAGUGGCGAAGGCGGCCUGCUGGACGGUGACUGACGCUGAGGCUCGAAAGCGUGGGGAGCAAACAGG
rnacentral:rRNA from 1 species